GGGGGCGAAAAGAUUUCGACGAAGUUUCUGAUACUUGUGUGGCAUGUCGACCUGUCAGUGCGUCGCAAAACCAUUGGCACAAAUUGUAAUUGGCGAACCUCUCGCUAUGGCUGCCUAAAAGUGCAUCCCGUCAACCGACAGACGCCUUCUAUGUUGGAAGACGCCGCUAGAAGGCUACGUUAGCUUCAAGCCCGCAUGAGCUUGAACUGACAAAACUCGAUCACGCUAGCUUCAUUUCACCCUGUCUGUAGGAGUCGUGAUGAAGCGAAAUCCAAAAUACAGACUACACAUGGAGAAGCACUUGUGGUCACUACUUCGGACGAGGGUGCGAUUCCCUCCGCCUCCACCA
rnacentral:tmRNA from 2 species